rnacentral:misc_RNA from 1 species
UUUCCGUAGGUGAACCUGCGGAAGGAUCAUUCAUAAUAAGUGUUUUAUGGCACUUUUUAAAUCCAUAUCCACCUUGUGUGCAAUGUCAGGGUUGAUUUUUCUCUCGAGAGGAUCAGCCCCAAACAUCAACUAUAUCUCAACUCUUUGUCUGAAAAAUAUUAUGAAUAAAACAAUUCAAAAUACAACUUUCAACAACGGAUCUCUUGGCUCUC